GCGCGCAAAUUACCCAAUCCCGACACGGGGAGGUAGUGACAAUAAAUACUGAUACAGGGCUCUUUUGGGUCUUGUAAUUGGAAUGAGUACAAUUUAAAUCCCUUAACGAGGAACAAUUGGAGGGCAAGUCUGGUGCCAGCAGCCGCGGUAAUUCCAGCUCCAAUAGCGUAUAUUAAAGUUGUUGUGGUUAAAAAGCUCGUAGUUGAACCUUGGGCCUGGCUGGCCGGUCCGCCUCACCGCGUGUACUGGUCCGGCCGGGCCUUUCCCUCUGUGGAACCCCAUGCCCUUCACUGGGUGUGGCGGGGAAACAGGACUUUUACUUUGAAAAAAUUAGAGUGCUCCAGGCAGGCCUAUGCUCGAAUACAUUAGCAUGGAAUAAUAGAAUAGGACGUGUGGUUCUAUUUUGUUGGUUUCUAGGACCGCCGUAAUGAUUAAUAGGGACAGUCGGGGGCAUCAGUAUUCAAUUGUCAGAGGUGAAAUUCUUGGAUUUAUUGAAGACUAACUACUGCGAAAGCAUUUGCCAAGGAUGUUUUCAUUAAUCAGGAACGAAAGUUAGGGGAUCGAAGACGAUCAGAUACCGUCGUAGUCUUAACCAUAAACUAUGCCGACUAGGGAUCGGACGAUGUUAUUUUUUGACUCGUUCGGCACCUUACGAGAAAUCAAAGUGCUUGGGCUCCAGGGGGA
rnacentral:rRNA from 1 species